AACGAACGCUGGCGGCAUGCUUAACACAUGCAAGUCGAACGGACUUGUGGGGCUUGCUCCACAAGUUAGUGGCAGACGGGUGAGUAACGCGUGGGAAUGUACCUUUUGGUUCGGAAUAACUUCGGGAAACUGAAGCUAAUACCGGAUAAGCCCGUGAGGGGAAAGAUUUAUCGCCGAAAGAGCAGCCCGCGUUAGAUUAGGUAGUUGGUGGGGUAAAGGACCUACCAAGCCUACGAUCUAUAGCUGGUCUGAGAGGAUGAUCAGCCACACUGGGACUGAGACACGGCCCACGACUCCUACGGGAGGGCAGCAGUGGGGAAGUAUUGGUACAAUAGGGGGAAACCCGUACGAUCCAGCAAUGCCGCGUGUGUGAUGAAGG
rnacentral:rRNA from 1 species